CUCUAUCUUGGCUGGCUCAGGUCGCUGCUUUCCGCACCCCACUUGGUGACCCUGGUACUGUACCUCAUCCAUCCCAAAAUGGCAUUUUUCUGGUUUCAGCAUCAGGCCCGCGGCCCGAAUCUGAUCCAGGACCAUUCCAACAUGAGCUAGGUGUUCCUCCCAGGACUCACUGUGGAUCACUAUGUCAUCCAGGUAGGCACAGGCAAAAUCCUGAAAGCCAUCAAGGAGUCUAUCCACCAAGCGCUGGAAUGUGGCAGGGGCAUUCUUCAUCCUGAAUGGCAUGACCUUAAAGUGGUACAGGCCGAACGGGGUGACGAAUGCCAACUUGGGGAUAGCUUCCCUGGCUAGGG